CCCGUAACGAGCGCAACCCUUGUCCUUAGUUACCAGCACGUUAUGGUGGGCACUCUAAGGAGACUGCCGGUGACAAACCGGAGGAAGGUGGGGAUGACGUCAAGUCAUCAUCGGCCCUUACGGCCGUGGGCUACACACGUGCUACAAUGGUCGGUACAAAGGGUUGCCAAGCCGCGAGGUGGAGCUAAUCCCAUAAAACCGAUCGUAGUCCGGAUCGCAGUCUGCAACUCGACUGCGUGAAGUCGGAAUCGCUAGUAAUCGCGCAUCAGCCAUGGCGCGGUGAAUACGUUCCCGGGCCUU
rnacentral:rRNA from 1 species